GUUUUAAUAGUUUAAAAAAAAUAAUGAUCUUGUAAAUCAUAGAUAGUGUUCAACUUUAAAACU
rnacentral:tRNA from 1 species